CUAGAUGGAAAGUACCAUCCUUGGCUCAUGAGAAACUCCACUGGGGUCAGUGAAGACGCUCCCAGUGGCGGGCGGUGAGCCUCAGCCCGGGCUGCGCCCAGCUCUGGAAGGAAGAAGGGCCAGAGGUAGUGCCCCACAGUGGAGCCUCACGUCCGGCCUGGUUUCUGCCUCGUGGAUGGGGUCAAGAGAGUGGAAUCAAGCCGAGUGCAUGUGACGUGCAGGGAAGAAAGCGGACCAAGAACGGGUCCCAGAGCCUGAAGCAAGCCAUCUGCAAGCCGUGCCCCAGCUCCUUCCGUCUCCGAGGUUUACUUCCUGUACUUGACGAGGGCCCACUGGGCAGGGCCUCUCUCUCGGCUCCGCGUCUGCGCCCUCGACAGGCCGGCACACAGUGGGUGCUUUGCUGAAGGUAUGGACGAGCCCUGUGGGGUGUGGGCGGGGCCCCGGGGGCUGUCCCCUCAUCUCACCUCUGCUGGCAGGGCACGCCACCUGUAGCCCCUGACUCCCUCUAGACUCAGAGACAGCACGGGGCUCCCACUAAAGAGUCAGAGCCGUGUGAGUUAAAACCCCGGUCCUGGGGCCUUCCUGGCAGUCCAGGAGCUAAGACUUCACCUCCAGUGGUUGGUUGGGUCUUUGGUUGGGAAGCUAAGGUGGAGCUUGCCUGGGCAAAAAAAAAAGGAAAACAUAAAGCAGAAGCAAUAUUGUAACAAAUUCAAUAAAGACUUUAAAAAUGGC
ensembl:lncRNA